CCUACGGGUGGCAGCAGUGGGGAAUAUUGGACAAUGGGCGAAAGCCUGAUCCAGCCAUGCCGCGUGUGUGAAGAAGGCCUUCGGGUUGUAAAGCACUUUCAGUGGGGAAGAAAGCCUUGGGGCUAAUACCCUCGAGGAAGGACAUCACCCACAGAAGAAGCACCGGCUAACUCCGUGCCAGCAGCCGCGGUAAUACGGAGGGUGCGAGCGUUAAACGGAAUUACUGGGCGUAAAGCGCGCGUAGGCGGUCUGAUAAGCCGGUUGUGAAAGCCCCGGGCUCAACCUGGGAACGGCAUCCGGAACUGUCAGGCUAGAGUGCAGGAGAGGAAGGUAGAAUUCCCGGUGUAGCGGUGAAAUGCGUAGAGAUCGGGAGGAAUACCAGUGGCGAAGGCGGCCUUCUGGACUGACACUGACGCUGAGGUGCGAAAGCGUGGGUAGCAAACAGGAUUAGAUACCCUUGUAGUC
rnacentral:rRNA from 1 species